rnacentral:siRNA from 1 species
CAUCAGGAGGCUACCGGAACUGGU